rnacentral:rRNA from 1 species
UAGGGAAUCUUCCGCAAUGGGCGAAAGCCUGACGGAGCAACGCCGCGUGAGUGAUGAAGGUCUUCGGAUCGUAAAACUCUGUUAUCAGGGAAGAACAUAUGUGUAAGUAACUGUGCACAUCUUGACGGUACCUAAUCAGAAAGCCACGGCUAACUACGUGCCAGCAGCUGCGGUAAUACGUAGGUGGCAAGCGUUAUCCGGAAUUAUUGGGCGUAAAGCGCGCGUAGGCGGUUUUUUAAGUCUGAUGUGAAAGCCCACGGCUCAACCGUGGAGGGUCAUUGGAAACUGGAAAACUUGAGUGCAGAAGAGGAAAGUGGAAUUCCAUGUGUAGCGGUGAAAUGCGCAGAGAUAUGGAGGAACACCAGUGGCGAAGGCGACUUUCUGGUCUGUAACUGACGCUGAUGUGCGAAAGCGUGGGGAUCAAACAGGAUUAGAUACCCUGGUAGUCCACGCCGUAAACGAUGAGUGCUAAGUGUUAGGGGGUUUCCGCCCCUUAGUGCUGCAGCUAACGCAUUAAGCACUCCGCCUGGGGAGUACGACCGCAAGGUUG